rnacentral:misc_RNA from 1 species
GAUGAAGAACGCAGCGAAAUGCGAUAAGUAGUGUGAAUUGCAGAAUUCAGUGAAUCAUCGAAUCUUUGAACGCACAUUGCGCCCCAUGGUAUUCCGUGGGGCAUGCCUGUUCGAGCGUCAUUUACCCCCUCAAGCUCCGCUUGGUGUUGGGCGUUUGUCCCGCUUCGCGCGUGGACUCGCCCCAAAGGUAUUGGCAGCGGUCGUGCCAGCUUCUCGCGCAGCACAUUGCGCUUCUCGAGGCACCGGCGGGCCCGCGUCCAUCAAGCUCCAACCCAGUUUGACCUCGGAUCAGGUAGGGAUACCCGCUGAACUUAAGCAUAUCAAUAAGCGGAGGA